GUUAUCGAUGAUGACAUGAUGAUUGGUCACAAGAAUAAUCGGAAGGAUUUGUAGGCCUUUAUAACGUUGUUUCAAUUAAUAUAUUCUGAACCUAUAUUCUACUUCGCAUAUUUAUUAAGGUUAUUUGUACUAAAGAGGGUUACUUUAAUUCUACCUAAUUACUAGUGCGUUUAUGCACACACAGUUUUGAAGAAAGCAGAUUUUAACUUUAGCUUUACUUUCCAUACUGGAUUCAGCAAGGUGUACUUAUACCAAAAUGGCAUCUUACGGCAAGGGAGACUUUGGAUCGGAGAUGUAUGAUGCAUCAUACAUAAAUUCAGGCGGAAGAAGUAAUACAUCAGAUUUUAACAGACUUUCACAAGUCAUUGGAAGCAAUAUACAGAAAAUCAACACUAAAGG